UACGUAGGGAGCAAGCGUUGUCCGGAAUCAUUGGGCGUAAAGCGCGCGUAGGUGGCCUCAUAAGUCCGCUGUGAAAGUCAAAGGCUCAACCUUUGAAAGCCGGUGGAUACUGUGAGGCUAGAGUACGGAAGAGGCGAGUGGAAUUCCUGGUGUAGCGGUGGAAUGCGCAGAUAUCAGGAAGAACACCAACGGCGAAGGCGGCGUCCUGGACUGGGCCUGACGCUCAGGAGCGAAAGCGUGGGGAGCGAUCCGG
rnacentral:rRNA from 1 species